rnacentral:rRNA from 1 species
CUACGGGCGGCUCCAGUAAGGAAUAUUGCGCAAUGGAGGCAACUCUGACGCAGCCAUGCCGCGUGCAGGAAGAAGGCCUUAUGGGUCGUAAACUGCUUUUAUUUAGGAAUAAACCCCCGAACGUGUUCGGGGCUGAAGGUACUAAACGAAUAAGCACCGGCUAACUCCGUGCCAGCAGCCGCGGUAAUACGGAGGGUGCAAGCGUUAUCCGGAUUUAUUGGGUUUAAAGGGUGCGCAGGCGGGCUAUUAAGUCAGUGGUGAAAUCCCGGGGCUCAACUCCGGAACUGCCAUUGAUACUGAUAGUCUUGAGUUUGGUUGAAGUGGGCGGAAUGUAGCAUGUAGCGGUGAAAUGCAUAGAUAUGCUACAGAACACCAAUCGCGAAGGCAGCUCACUAAGCCAAAACUGACACUCAUGCACGAAAGCGUGGGGAUCAAACAGGAUUAGAUACCCGGGUAGUC